UACGUAGGGCGCGAGCGUUGUCCGGAUUUAUUGGGCGUAAAGAGCUCGUAGGCGGCCUGUUGCGUCCGCUGUGAAAGCCCGGGGCUUAACCCCGGGUCGGCAGUGGAUACGGGCAGGCUAGAGGUAGGUAGGGGAGAAUGGAAUUCCCGGUGUAGCGGUGAAAUGCGCAGAUAUCGGGAGGAACACCGGUGGCGAAGGCGGUUCUCUGGGCCUUACCUGACGCUGAGGAGCGAAAGCGUGGGGAGCGAACAGG
rnacentral:rRNA from 1 species